rnacentral:rRNA from 1 species
GAUGAACGCUGGCGGCGUGCUUAACACAUGCAAGUCGAACGAUUAAAGCCCCUUCGGGGGUGUAUAGAGUGGCGAACGGGUGAGUAACACGUGGGCAAUCUGCCCCUCACUUCGGGAUAACUCAGGGAAACUUGAGCUAAUACCGGAUACUCCGAACUGAUCGCAUGGUCGGUUCGGGAAAGCUCCGACGGUGAGGGAUGAGCCCGCGGCCCAUUAGCUUGUUGGUAGGGUAACGGCCUACCAAGGCGGCGAUGGGUAGCCGAGCUGAGAGGCUGAUCGGCAGCACGUGGACUGAGACACUGCCCAGACUCCUGAGAGAGGCAGCAGGGGGGAAUUUCGCGCAAUGGGCGAAAGCCUGAAGCAGCAACGCUGCGUGCGGGAUGAAGGCUCUCGGGUCGUGAACCGCUUUCAGCAGGGAUGAAAUUGACAGUACCUGCAGAAGAAGCCCCGGCUAAAUACGUGCCAGCCGCCGCAGUAACAC